AGUGGGAUAAGGCCCCCCGCAGACCACGGGAUCGAUAGACCAGACCUACAAGACUAGUAAUAGUCGCAGGGAACUGGCACUAACCGGCCGAAAACUUACAACAA
rnacentral:rRNA from 1 species